CAGCAGCCGCGGGAAAACGGAGGGAGCUAGCGUUAUUCGGAAUUACUGGGCGUAAAGCGCACGUAGGCGGCUUUGUAAGUUAGAGGUGAAAGCCUGGAGCUCAACUCCAGAAUUGCCUUUAAGACUGCAUCGCUUGAAUCCAGGAGAGGUGAGUGGAAUUCCGAGUGUAGAGGUGAAAUUCGUAGAUAUUCGGAAGAACACCAGUGGCGAAGGCGGCUCACUGGACUGGUAUUGACGCUGAGGUGCGAAAGCGUGGGGAGCAAACAGGAUUAGAUACCCCAGUAGUCCCUGUCUCUUAUAC
rnacentral:rRNA from 1 species